rnacentral:rRNA from 1 species
AGCUUGUGUCCAGCGGCGCCGGUUCACCGCUAGCCGGUGUCACAACUGGCGCGUCGGCUGGACGUCCGGCCGGUGGCGGCCCGCGCCCUCGACCCGUGUAGGUUCCACUCCCGAAGCGGGCCGAGUCAGCCGGGCGGCCGACUCAAUCCCGCCGCGGUGCUCUUGACUGAGUGUCGAGGUGGGCCGGCAAGAUUACUUUGAACAAAUUAGAGUGCUAAAAGCGGGCUCACUCACGCCUGGAUACUGUCGCAUGGAAUAAUGGAAUAGGACUUCGGUUCUAAUUUUAUUGGUUUUAAGAGCCUGAAGUAAUGAUUGAUGGGGGCAGACGGGGGCACCCGUACUGUGACGUUAGAGGUGAAAUUCUUGGAUCGUCGCAAGACGAACAACAGCGAAAGCAUUUGCCAAGUAUGCCCUUGUUAAUUAAGAACGAAAGUUAGAGGCUCGAAGGCGAUCAGAUACCGCCCUAGUUCUGACCGUAAACUAUGCCAGCCAGCGAUCCGCCACUGUUACUUUGAUGACUUGGCGGGCAGCUCCCGGGAAACCAAAGCUUAUGGGUUCCGGGGGAAGUAUGGUUGCAAAGCUGAAACUUAAAGGAAUUGACGGAAGGGCACCACCAGGAGUGGAGCCUGCGGCUUAAUUUGACUCAACACGGGAAACCUCACCAGGCCAGGACACUGGAAGGAUUGACAGACUGAUGGCUCUUUCUUGAUUCAGUGGGU